UACAGAGGUCUCAAGCGUUGUUCGGAUUCAUUGGGCGUAAAGGGUGCGUAGGCGGCGCGGUAAGUCGGGUGUGAAAACCCACGGCUCAACUGUGGGCUUGCAUUCGAUACGGGCAGGCUAGAGUUCGGUAGGGGAGACUGGAAUUCCUGGUGUAGCGGUGAAAUGCGUAGAUAUCGUAAGGAAGACCAGUGGCGAAGGCGGGUCUCUGGACAGUUCCUGACGCUGAGGCACGAAGGCCAGGGGAGCAAACGGG
rnacentral:rRNA from 1 species